UACGUAGGUGGCAAGCGUUGUCCGGAUUUAUUGGGUUUAAAGGGUGCGUAGGCGGUCUUAUAAGUCAGUGCUGAAAUAUCCCGGCUUAACCGGGAGGGUGGCAUUGAUACUGUAGGACUUGAGUAAAGUUGAGGUUGGCGGAAUUGACGGUGUAGCGGUGAAAUGCUUAGAUAUCGUCAAGAACACCUAUUGCGAAGGCAGCUAACUAAGCUUUAACUGACGCUGAGGCACGAAAGUAUGGGGAUCAAACAGG
rnacentral:rRNA from 1 species